rnacentral:misc_RNA from 1 species
AACGCACCUUGCGCCCUUUGGUAUUCCGAAGGGCAUGCCUGUUUGAGUGUCAUUAAAUUCUCAACUUCAAGAUGCUUUGUUGCAUUUUUUGAAGCUUGGACUUUGGAGGAUUUUUGCCGGCAUCACUGUCAGCUCCUCUUAAAUGCAUUAGCGGAACUUUAUUAAGGACCAGCUUUGGUUUGAUAAUCCUAUCUAUGCCGUUGCUGUGGACUUUGCCUGUUCGGCUUCUAAUGGUCUUCGGACUGUCUCUCCAAUGAGGCAUACACUUUUAAGCUUGACCUCAAAUCAGGUAGGACUACCCGCUGAACUUAA